CUCAUUCUCCCCAUCUGGUUUGGAAGAAGCACACUGUUGUCUGGAGGCUCUUCAUUUGCCAAGUAGCCUUUUGGUAGCAAGCAUAAGAUCUGGCUUUGUUUCUCAGCAUGCUUAUCACAAGGCACCUUUUACCGUCUGCAAACAGCCACCACCUAAAAGACACUCCUCAAGCUUUGGAGUGGUUUUCUAGGUUAGCCACUUCACAUUUCUGGAGAUGCAUUGGAGCAAGGAGGAAUUAGUCAAGUAGCUAUUGACUGUAACUGAAGUGGAAUCAGCUCUACAGGGACUGAACUCAAGACAACAUCCAUGACUUUAUGCUCACAGGAGCUAUGUUUGGUAGUGGCAGCCCAUGGAUCAAGCUGGAGGAAGGUGCUUGCCUGUUCAGUUGAUGAAGUGUUGAUAAGCUGUCCUGUUGUCAUGUAGAGCAGGCUGAAAGUUCUAUCCAGAGACAUAGUGAAGUGAAAUUGAAAUUUCACAAACUAGAAAUAAGGACCACAAAGGAAUUCUGGAAGCAGGCUUGGAAAAGAAAGGAAAGCGUGAAUCUCAGGAUGAAAAAAAGGUAAGGACACACACAUGAAGUUACCAUGCGAAGGGAUGCUCCCCCUCCAUGCUGGAUCAAGAAUCAAAUGCUUAUAUAAGUAUACACCCAACGAGAAAAAUGGAGGGUACAGGAACCAGUUUCAAGCAGUUUUGUUAGGGAAAUGAAUCCUCAGCCUCAUACAAAUUUAAGUCCCUUUGGAUUUUAUAUUACUCCCAUAUGCUGUGGAGAUCAAGCAUUUAUCUUGAUAUGCGUAACAGUGCACAUGCCUUUCUUAUCUCUCAUAAUUCCACAGAAAUAAAUGUAUGAAAUAUAUCUAGUUCAUAUUCAUGGUAACCUGUUAUCAGCUGAACAGAUACAUUCAACCCUUCUGUAUUUUAAUGUAACAUGUACAGUCAAAUUACUUUGUGCCUUUUUGCCAUCUGCAGUGUGCUGGUAGGAGGUGAUUAGUAAUAGACCACCAUCUGCUUAAGAGCAGAGGCCAUUGUAAAUGAUAGGCAAACAUAUAUUGCGAUGUUCGCAUAGUGGAAAGUCCAUGAAUUAGCACUGUGGCAUAUUCAGAUGUCUUAUGAGUCAUAUUCCAAUUGAGGGGGUAAAAACAAAGGUAAACAUUCUUAUAAUUGUCCAUUAACCAAUCAUUCUACACAUCCACACAUGUACCCUGAGAAUUACUUCUAGUCAUUUCCUCUAUGUUUCAAUCCUGCACAAUUACAAAAUAUUUCAAAAUAAAUUUCUUUAAAUCUUUGGGAUUGUUUUACUAAUCUCACCCCCUCCAGAAAUGUCCCAUCACCUCUAGCCAUCCUUUGAUGAAUUAAUACUCUAACCAUGAUGACAACCAUCUCAUUCUCCUCUCAUUUCCUCAUAUGACCAGGCCACCUUAGGGUUACCAUCUGAAUCUUGCUCAGAGCAAAACAAUUAAUUCAGUGUAGGAAUUUUAAUAGUCAUAAGAUUCAUCAUAACCUCAAAUACUCCAAAGUUGCUGUUCAAAUAAUACCAAGAAAACUUGGCAUUAAAUGUUAAUAUUUCCUGAUAUCCAAACCCUGAGGUUUGGUAC